GCCAGGCACGGUGGCUCAUGCCUGUAGUCCCAGCUACUCAGGAGGCUGAGGUGGGAGAACUGCUUAAGGACAGGAGUUCUGGGCUGUAGUGCACUAUGCCAAUCAGGUGUCUGCACUAAGUUUGGCAUCAACAUGGAGACCUCCCGGGAGCCAGGGAACCACCAGGUUGCCUAAGGAGGGGUGAACCGGCCGAGGUCAGAAACGUAGCAGGUCAAAACUCCAGUACUAAUCAGUAGUGGGAUUGCGUCUGUGAAUAGCCACUGGGCAACAUAGUGAGACCCCAUCUCU
rnacentral:SRP_RNA from 1 species